rfam:Neotoma lepida isolate 417 scaffold_305, whole genome shotgun sequence.
GGAGAGGUGGCUCAUUGGUUAAGAGCACUUUGUGCUCUUCCAGAGGACCUGGGUUCAAUUCCCAGCAUCCA